CCAGCAGAAGGAAGCAGUGAAGCCUUGAAGAGCCGACGGCGCAUUUCCUCAACCGGGCAGUGUGCUUCAAUGCUACUUACAAUGGCUACAAGGCAAGCAGACCAAACCGGGUUCCACGAUUCACGCCUUCCGGUGUUACAUGUUGAAGCGUGACAAGGAUGCACAAACGCAGACCGCGCCCGGACAUGACGCCCCAGGUGAAGAGAAGCCCACUGAUGCCAUGCUCCUUGAAGUGUCUAUGGAGGUGGAAUCUCAGCCUGAGUUUUCAUCAUCAAUCAUUGUCCAAAAUAUACACUCUUUUGAACUGAAUUGAGCUGACUGAAAUGUGGCGACAGCUUCUACCUCGCAGACGACGAGGACGCCGCCGGAAGCAGAUCCUUCCCGCCGGAAGCAGAUCCUUCCCGCCGGAAGCAGAUCCUUCCCGCCUUACAGCUCUAAUCGUCGGAGACGGUGCUGCGUCGCCCCUGACUUCAGGCGCCCAGCUGCUGCCGGAAGACCAGCACGACUGGGUGGGAUGUGCGCUUUUUGUCCGAGGUCCCAAGGGGAAAGUGGUUCUCAAGUCCAGGCCACGGCUGUGGUGGCAUUCUCCCCAGCUGUUGCCGUAUUACACGCAGCCCCCUGCCUCAUCCGCUGUGUUUUUCCACUCGCGCUUUUUCCUGUGAUGCUCGUACAAGCUUUGGGGCUGCAAUCUCGAGUGCCAAAAUAAAAAUACAAGCUGCUGGGUUUCGGACUGUACAAGAGUCUGAGAAAGGUCUUGGACCUCAGUAACUGGUACUACAUGACCACAGAGUACCUGGAGUGCCGCAAGAAAUAUGUUGCCUGGGUCAGCAACAUUGUCGGGCAGCUGAGCACGGCAAAACAGGCGGGGUUCCCGGCGAUCCUCACCUACAAGUUAUCUUGUGACAUGAAGGUCAUAUGGCAGAUGCAGGCUCGCACGCUGGGUACCAGUGCCACUCGACUUCGCUCCCACCUGAUAAGUGGAGCACUCGCGAGAGUGGCAGACCCGGGCCGUCGAGUACCUGGAGGUGAUGGCUCGCUUUCGCUCCGUCGGCUCCUUCCCGCUGCCGAGGGACUGCAUCCUGCCCAUGCGCCCGAUACCAAGCGUUUCCUGGCUGGUGUCGGUAUACGUGAGGGAGGUUCUUCCUCGCAUGGAGCACACGAAGGCCAGGAUUACGUCUACAUUGGGAAGUAUCCUGAAAAUGGAAUCCACCAAGGAGAUGACCAAGAAGCUGGCAGGUGAAGCCGCGGGAACGGCUGCCUGGGUCACCAACGUCGGCAACGAGCUGGGCCAGGUGCUAAUGUCGGUGGUGACGGCAGUAGAGGGGGACGGUCUGCUGGCCAUGGCCCAGGGACUCAUGCGCCGCCACCGGGAGACCAGCCGAGACCCUCCUCACGUGCUCUAUGUGAACCGUGACUGCUGCUGCUCCGCCGCCGGACAGCUUAAGGCAGGGGUCCGAAACCUUUUUGGCUGAGAGAGCCCUGAAAGCCAAAUACUUUAAAAUGUAUUUCCGUGAGAGCCAUAUCAUAUUUUUUAACACUGAAUACAACUAAAUGCGUGCUAUUUUUAAGUAAGACCAACAUUUUUAGAGUAUAAUAAGUCUCUAAUUCUUUUUAAUGACAUUAUUCCUUGCACAGGUGCGGUAGGAAACGGAUGCAUGAAUUAAAAUGCAUGAGAAUGUUUUAUAUUCUACGUUAUUUUUAACACCGUAAUUACCAGCGGAAUUAUUCAUUACUUAUCGUGUUAAGCAAUGUCAGCUAAGAUUUAUCUGAGAGCCAGAUGCAGUCAUCAAAAUAGCCACAUCUGGCUCUAGAGCCAUAGGUUCCCUACUCCUGGCCUAAGGUAAGGUUUUGAUCUGCUGUGCUGUAGUUUUCAAACGGUGGCCUGCCCGGCAUAACUUGGGUCCGUGUUAUUAGGUGGCAGCUACGUUCGGCAAGUGGGACCGGCUGGUGGUGCGCUUGGACGCGUGGCACCUCAUGCGCCGCUUUGCCAGGGGCGUUUCCACAGAGGGCCACACACUGUAUGGCGAAUUCAUGAACAGACUCUCGUUUGCCAUGUUUGAGUGGGAUAAGGGAGACGUGAAGCGUCUGCGUGAGGCUAAGCAGACAGAGCAUGGCGGGAAUGCCCACGUCAAGCUGCUGAGCAAGGAGCUGCACCAUAACUGCCGCACCAGAGAAGUGGAGAAAACCACGCGUCUUGCCCAAGAGGUGCUUGAUCACUUGUGGGAUGCCAAAAACAGCUUGGGCGUCAAGCUUUUUGACCAAGACAGGAUGAGGGAGAUCUGGAACACUCAGCUACGCCACUUGGGCUGCAUCCAAGACCCGCCUUGCGUGGCGCUUUAUACAAGGACUUCCACAGUGACCUAAGGAGGGGUGGCUCUUACGGUCUUCCGCUGCGAACGGGGCUCCCCUUCUCUAGAGAGCUUCCACCUGCACUUGUGCCGUUUUUAUUCCUGGUAAAGUCUAUGUAACUGUAUCGAUCGGGGCCACUGUUCCGGACGAGCGUGUCCAACACAUUCUCUAUACGAUGCCACAGGUACGUCGGCCAGCGGCCUCCACUUCCAGGUUUACCUGGUCUGUGUAGGUGGAACGAGGACCGAGGAAGAGCGGCGGUGAGAAGGACCGAUGCUGUCACGGUACAGUGUUACGACGCCGAGGCUGAUCCGGACCGGCCCGACCCAGCAGACCUGAACAAAGAUCAGGAGGACGAAUACCAACUUGAGGAUGAUGACAGUUAUGAUGACGUGCCAGAGGGAAUCGAACAGUAUUGAGGGGACUGCGAUUCCUUCGUGACUCCACCUCCCGACGAUGAGCCAGCGGAAGAGAAGGAAGAAGAAGGUGUGUUGGGUCCAGAUGGGCACGGCGGAUACCAGCCUGUCUGUCACUUGGCCACCGCCCUUCUUGCGCUACGGCGCCAAAAGUUUGUGCCGCCUCGGCAGGAGAGGCAGAAAAUCGAACUUUGGCAAAAGCUGACGGACGGAGACAAAGCUCCUUUUGCCUCCCCCCCGCCACGCUCAAAAGCUGAACAAGUGACGCUUUAAGGUCUCCAGGCAGCACCACUCGGAAGCGGUGGCCAGUGUAAAAUGGUAGUGUGUGAAACAAUUUAUUUUUUUAACUUGUGUCCUCGUGUUUGUCAGUCUUGUUUUGUGUGGGUUCACGGUGUGGCGCAUAUUUGUAACAGCGUUAAAGUUGUUUAUUCAGCCACCCUCAGUCUGACCUGAUCAAGUAUCCUUGUAUUAACUUAUGUGUGUGUAAAAUCCGCUUACAUUGUGUGACUAGCACGGCACAAUGUUUGGAAGUAGGAAAAGCGGACGUGAUGCAAGUUUGUAGAGAACGCUGAAGGAAGUGCCAUUAAAGGGGAACAUUAUCACAAUUUCAAAAGGGUUAAAAACAAUAAAAAUCAGUUCCCAGUG